rnacentral:tRNA from 1 species
GCCCUAGUAGCUCAGUGUCUAGAGCGCCGG